AAAGUCCAGUACAAAUUGGUUAGGUCUAGUAAAGUGAUAUGCAUAAGUGACGCCUAGGGAUUACCCCUGAAUGUCAUUCAAAUCUUCUUUGAAAUCAUGAACAGGAAUAUUUAUGAUUUAGGGGUAGGGAUCUGGACGGUUUACAAGUUCUCAAACAGGAAGGAGGUUGGGGUGAGAGUGACCCUAGGGGACUAGCCUUUUAUUUCAUCUGAUUUGUUUUAUUAUUCCGUACAAGAAUAUAUAUGGUUUUGUGGUGGGGAUCUUGACUGUUAACAGGAUGGGGUGGGGUGACACCAAGGUACUCCCCCUAUAUUUCAUUUGAUUUAUUUUAUUGUCCCAUACAAAAAUAUAUAUGGUUUAUGGGUGGGGAUC
rnacentral:lncRNA from 1 species